ACACUCCUGCGGGAGGCAGCAGUGGGGAAUCUUGCGCAAUGGGCGAAAGCCUGACGCAGCCAUGCCGCGUGAAUGAUGAAGGUCUUAGGAUUGUAAAAUUCUUUCACCGGGGACGAUAAUGACGGUACCCGGAGAAGAAGCCCCGGCUAACUUCGUGCCAGCAGCCGCGGUAAUACGAAGGGGGCUAGCGUUGCUCGGAAUUACUGGGCGUAAAGGGAGCGUAGGCGGACAUUUAAGUCAGGGGUGAAAUCCCGGGGCUCAACCUCGGAAUUGCCUUUGAUACUGGGUGUCUUGAGUAUGAGAGAGGUGUGUGGAACUCCGAGUGUAGAGGUGAAAUUCGUAGAUAUUCGGAAGAACACCAGUGGCGAAGGCGACACACUGGCUCAUUACUGACGCUGAGGCUCGAAAGCGUGGGGAGCAAACAGGAUUAGAAACCCUAGUAGUCCCA
rnacentral:rRNA from 1 species